AGCGAACGCUGGCGGCAGGCUUAACACAUGCAAGUCGAGCGGGCACUUUCGGGUGUCAGCGGCGGACGGGUGAGUAACGCGUGGGAACGUGCCCUCUGGUUCGGAAUAACUCAGGGAAACUUGAGCUAAUACCGGAUACGCCCUUUUGGGGAAAGGCUUGCUGCCGGAGGAUCGGCCCGCGUCUGAUUAGCUAGUUGGUGAGGUAACGGCUCACCAAGGCGACGAUCAGUAGCUGGUCUGAGAGGAUGAUCAGCCACACUGGAACUGAGACACGGCCCAGAUGAGGAGGGGGGGAGGAGGGGUGUAAGAUGGGGUGUGGGACGCAAGCCGGUGCAAGCAGGGUGGGGUAGGAGAUGAGGGCUGUGGGGUUGAAUACGUCUUUUACCAGGUAGGAGAAGGCAGUUAGCGGAGGACUAAGCCCCGGCUAACCCGGAGGAAGGGCGGGGGGGACUAGACGAAGAGAAAACGUGUGAAC
rnacentral:rRNA from 1 species